UCAGACGAUGCGUCAUGCAUAUCAAUAAGCGGAGGAAAAGAAACUAACAAGGAUUCCCCUAGUAACGGCGAGUGAAGCGGGAAGAGCUCAAAUUUGAAAUCUUAAAGGGUUUCCCUUUACGAAUUGUAGUUUAAAGAAGUGUUUUCUGUUGAGGUUUUGGUAAAAGUUCUUUGGAAUAGGACAUCAUAGAGGGUGAGAAUCCCGUAUUUGACCUUUACUUUCAACUUUGUGAUACACUUUCAAAGAGUCGGAUUGUUUGGGAAUGCAGUCCAAAAUGGGUGGUAAAUUUCAUCUAAAGCUAAAUAUUGGCGAGAGACCGAUAGCGAACAAGUACCGUGAGGGAAAGAUGAAAAGAACUUUGAAAAGAGAGUUAAACAGUACGUGAAAUUGUCAAAAGGGAAGCGUUUGACACCAGUGUUGUUUUUCUGAAAAUCAAUUAAAGAACUGUUUAUGCUAAGCUGUUUAGACUUUAUCAGCUAUCUGUUUAGUUUUGAGCUUUUCUUUAAUGCACUUUUCAGUCAACAAGUCAACAUCAAUUUCUUUUGCUGUAAAAAAGCUUGAGGAAGGUGGCUUGAGAUUCGUCUUAAGUGUUUAUAGCCUCUUGCCUAUGCAGUCGGAGAGAUUGAGGUCUGCAGCGUAGAUCCUUCGGGGCUAAAUGCAUUUGUGCUAAGUUAUAGCAUUUUAUAGACAACUUGUUGACUAUGAUUUGUCUUGUAGCUUACUCGCUUAUGUUAUUUUACCUACGCUUAGGAUGUUGACACACGCGCGUGCUCG
rnacentral:rRNA from 1 species